rnacentral:rRNA from 1 species
GUCGUAGUCCGGAUUGGAGUCUGCAACUCGACUCCAUGAAGUCGGAAUCGCUAGUAAUCGUAGAUCAGAAUGCUACGGUGAAUACGUUCCCGGGCCUUGUACACACCGCCCGUCACACCAUGGGAGUGGGUUGCAAAAGAAGUAGGUAGCUUAACCUUCGGGAGGGCGCUUACCACUUUGUGAUUCAUGACUGGGGUGAAGUCGUAACAAGGUAACCGUAGGGGAACCUGCGGUUGGAUCACCUCCUUACCUAAAGA